ACUCCUACGGGGAGGCAGCAGUGGGGAAUAUUUGCACAAAUGGGGCGCAAGCCUGAUGCAGCCAUGCCGCGUGUGUGAAGAAGGGCCUUCGGGUUGUAAAGUCACUUUGCAGUUGUGAGGAAGGUGGUGUCGUUAAUAGCCGGCAUCAUUUGACGUUAGCAACAGAAGAAGCACCGGCUGAACUCCGUGCCAGCAGCCGGCGGUAAUA
rnacentral:rRNA from 1 species